UCCGGGUGGUAGUCCAGCUGCAGGAGGAAGUAUCCCAGAAGAAACAGGAAGUAGCUGAUGUCAAAGGAUAGACUAGGCAGCUCAGCUUUUGCUCAUGGAUGUCUAAGAAAGUGCAUUAAUUAUGUCAAUUGAGGAAUGCUUCAAUAAGGAACGUAAAGAUUGCAUGAGAGGCUGAGAUUGAAGAUCAUCCAGGCCGUCUUCUCUUCUCCUGGAGCCAAACCCCCCCAGACUGAAGUCAGUGAUCAGGCUCUUCACCCCACCAUGCAGGGCUAGGAACCCUCCAUGUUCAGGACCCCUCCCAGAGCUGGCCUCUCUCAGCCUGUGUAUCUUCUCUUCUAUCCUGGCUGUAUGCUGGCUCUUCUCCUGCACCUCCUUCUGAUUCCUGACCUCCUCUGAGAGACACACGAUCAACUCCACAGUUAACACAAAGAAACACAGAAACAUGUGUGUCGCAUUGUAUAAUGAUAGAAGACAGGCACAGGAAUAUGAAAAUCUAGCUACCAGUCUGUAAGAAGCCGCCAGAGCUGUCAGUCUUACAUGGAACAGCCAGAGCCGCCAGUCAGCAUGGAGCAGCCAGAGUCGCCAGUCAGCAUGGAGCAGCCAGAUCCAUCAGUCUGCCAGGAUCCGCCAGUCAGCCAGACUCUUCCAGAUCCGCCAGUCAACCAGACUCUUCCAGAUCCGCCAGUCAACCAGACUCUUCCAGAUCCGCCAGUCAGCAAGGAUCUGCCGGAUCCAAUUACCUGCCUGAGCUUCCUCUCAGCGCUGGGCUUCCCCUCAGUGCUGGGCUUCCCCUCAGUCCCAAGCUGCCUCAGUCCAGAGCUGCCCCUCAGUCCCGAGCUGCCCCUCAGUCCCGAGCUGCCCCUCAGUCCCGAGCUGCCCCUCAGUCCCGUGCUGCACCUCAGUCCAGUGGGGUUCUGGGUGAGGACUACUAGGCCAUGGUCGGCGGCGAGGGUGGACUAUCCUAGGACGCGAGGAGGAGGAACUAAGACAUUGAUAGAGUGGGGUCCACGUCCCGCGCCGGAGCCGCCCACCCGGACCCUCCCUAUUGUGUUAAUGUGCGUCCGGGAGUCCGCACCUUA